UUAAAUUAAGUCUUUAGGAAACACAUGCUCUUUCAAGGCACCUACUUUAGGCCACAAUUCAGUAAAGGAAAUAUUUGCCCCUGCUCUGACUUCAGUAAGGCUCUCUGGAGGAGAAGUGAUUUUCCCAAAUGAGUCUUCCUGUUUGAGAGGGGUCACGAGCCAUUUGAAUCGUGGAUACACUAAAAUACUGAGGGCCAAAUGUGUAAAGUGGUGGCUGAGAAAUGAUUUGCUGGCCAGAGAGCAUCUUUCAGCAGUCCCCAACAAUGAAUCAUCUAAGUGGUUCUGGGUGCCAUUGCUAAACUUCAAGAGGAACUCUGGAUAAAGCCACACCUGUGGCCCAGUGGCUGGAGCACUAUGCUGGAAAGUCAGAACUGUAGUUUUAAAUCU